rnacentral:rRNA from 1 species
UACGAAGGGUGCAAGCGUUACUCGGAAUUACUGGGCGUAAAGCGUGCGUAGGUGGUUUGUUAAGUCUGAUGUGAAAGCCCUGGGCUCAACCUGGGAACUGCAUUAGAAACUGGCUUACUAGAGUGCGGUAGAGGGGUGUGGAAUUCCCGGUGUAGCAGUGAAAUGCGUAGAUAUCGGGAGGAACAUCUGUGGCGAAGGCGACACCCUGGACCAGCACUGACACUGAGGCACGAAAGCGUGGGGAGCAAACAGG